AAAGUCGUAACAAGGUAACCGUAGGUGAACCUGCGGUUGGAUCAUUAUUUAUGAGAGGGGGUUCUCCACGAAUCCCUGGCAUCUUUUUGCCGAAACCCCGUGUGCACUUACCUUUUUGUCAGGGGCCUUUUUUUUUUAAAGAGGGACUGCUGUUCCAGUGCUCCCUCCCAAAAUGCGGUCUCUGUGCAAAUGAAACGCUAUGUUGAACUGGCUGAUGCAAGUACGUCUCGCCGUCGGCGGGCACGCAACCUACAACAACUUUUGGCAACGGAUCUCUUGGCUCUC
rnacentral:misc_RNA from 1 species